rnacentral:lncRNA from 1 species
GUAUGGUUCAAGGUUGAGCAAAAAACAAUUAUAGUCAUUAUUAUAUUGGUCAUGAAUAUAAGAGUAAGGAAGCUCUUCUUUUUGACUGGGAAGUAUCGUAGUAAAUCAAGUAUUUUUUGUUCAUUUGUUUUGAGUGGAAGAUGCAGUAUAUAAGAAAAAUUCUCGAAUACUGAUAGCGAUCAGAUUUUAUCUCCUAUAGCAAUUCCAAUUUUUUGUAUAAUAGCAGACUCUAAACUUCUUUGAUUUCUUCUACUGGUAAAAGAUAUAGUGUAUUUGCUUUCAUCCCCACUUAUAUAUAUUUAUUUGAUUAUCAAUUAUUAUCAUAAUUUAUUGCAUAUACUAGAAAACUUUUACAAAAAUAGACAUUAAAACUAGAAAUAAGCAAUCUCUAUUUUCUUCCCACUCCACAGAGAACUGCCUUAUUUGUCCCCUUUGAAGACAAAUGUUCUUGAGCACUGGUUGAACUGGAUUUUCAGGCCAGGUCAAGGCCCAGUUCUUGAUGGUGCUAUCUUACUGCUACCUAUUCCAUGGCACACCCUCCAGAUAAGUCCCUUUCUCCAGUUACCAGCUACUGGUUUAGGUACAUCUGUCCCAUGAAUUAGUUGGGUAUUACAGUAUCUUAAAGUCUCCUAAAAACUCUCUAAUAAUGUGUUUAAUUUCUCAGUAAUUUUCUUUCACUGGCCUCUUUUUAUUAAAAGCUAGACAUAUAAUGGAUGCAUAACUUACUUCUGGCUUCCUAAUAUUCAUUGUUUGACGUGGCCAUCAACAUAUUGAAGGAAGAUAUUAAUUAAAACAGCCAGAUUGUGUUGACCUAAAAUACCAAAAGGAUUUUGAAUAACUUUCUGGUGUCCAUCUCUAAAUAAUUGAGAAGGAAAAGAUAGCUUUAUUGUGUGAAACCCUUUCAGAAGCAGAGGUCAUCUGGUGACCUCUUUUAGCUAUAUGACCUCUUGACACCAUGAUUUUUGAGUUGUAUUGGGUCUAUUUAAGUUGUUGGAUGUAACAUAUAAAUACGUAUCUAGCUAAUACAUCAGUCAUUUGCAUCCUCUGG